CUGCCUUCUUCUGAAGCUGCUUCUGGGCUCUCUAGUACUUGCUUUUAAGAACUGUGUUUCACUACAUUAUUAAAAAAACCUUGUCUCUUGUUAGUCGCAGCAUUAGGAAGGUUGAGGACCCCUGGUCUACAGCAGAGUGCUGUGUGUGUGUAGUGUGCUCCCUCGUACCAUCAGGUAGCAGUACUUGAUUUUAUAAUCAGACUUGAAAGUCUGAAGCUCCAAGGUUAUCCAGGAGUGAUACUAGAAAGGAUCGAAAUUGAUAUUUGUAGACAUACUCUGCCCUACUUUUUGCUGUGUUUCAUUGGUUGGAAGCAUGGGUGUUAAGCUGUGAUGUGGUUUAGCAGAACAAGAUGUUCCUCCUAAGGGAAUAGAAGACGUGUAACAGGUUUGGCAAGAUCUUACUGCUGAUACUUUGAACCCAAGGAAGAGCUGACUUGUUAGAAACAAAGCAGGGAGUGGACAUCAAUAACCUGGGUCCUCUGCAGAGUUGACCCUUCGGGCUCCUUUCAUCUUUAAUCUGUCUGUGGGACAAAGCCUUGUGUGACUUGUCACUUGUUGCUUUGUCUUUCCUCUUGCUGCAACACUGUUGGGAGCAGAGAAAAGAGAGGAGCCUCCUUAGACUCAGGAAUUAAUUAAGCAACUUCCUCUUUUUGAGAAAUCGAAUCUAAGAAGUUGUAGAGGACAAACCCGGCUGUAGAACAAGACUCUGACUAGCCUAGCUUCAGAGGAGAGUCCAGACCUGUCUGGGUCCUGCAAGCUGUGCAGAUUCAGCUCUGCUGCUCUGUGAGGUGUGCUCUGCAGUGAUGAACCUGCUGUGAAUUCAUCCCAGCUCCUACCCAGGAAAUAAGAAACUUCCCGUGGUUGAGAAAGUGAAACCAAGAAGUUUUAGAGGACAAACCAGGCUGUAGAAGGAGACAACAAUGACCAGUCUAGCUCAUAUAAGAUUCCAGAUCUGUCCGAGGCCUGCAAGCUGUGCAGAUUCAGCUAUGCUCUUCAGUGAGGUGAGCUCUGCAGUGAUGAACCUGCUGUGAAUUCAUCCCAGCUCCUGAGGCUGGCUGCACUAGAAAGUCUUGAUUGAGAAGGGGCCCAGUUUUGGAGUCCCCAGGAGAACCUGGACACAGGAUCCAUGAUUGAACUAUAUGCUGCACACCGACAGCUUCUCCACUCCAUGAUCUGACACACAGCUUGUCUUCUAUCAACUGGCUGGACCAUUCACUGCCACUGCUGCUCUUGGUUGUCGUCCCAUGACACUGGCGUCUGCAAAAUGCUGGGUCUUCUGCUGCAGCUCCACUUUCACUAGUAGCCUAUUCUGGGCUGUUUGCAUGGACUCUGACUCUGGCACACAUUGCCAAGCCUCAGCUGCUCUCCGUGUCCCCUUCACACCUUCAAAUUUAGUUCGGCUUUCAGCCAGGAUACAAACUUGGCCAUGUCUGGAACACAGCCUUGAUGCUGACUCUCAGGAAAUACUUUCCAGAAGACCUCGCCUAAAGAUGCUGGUCUCUUCGUAAUCACUGCUAAUUUCUCAGCUCCAGCUGAGCAGCAUGGAGUCCCCAGCAAAGCAAAGUCUCACUUUAGUGGUUCUGGUACCUUGUUAAUCACAGGUGAUUCCUCAGCCCCAGCUAAUCAGACCCUUUGACUCAGUUCAUUGGCACAGUAGCAUCUGCUGUCCUACUCUUCCACACGGUUUUCUUCCACGCUCCUAAAGAAUGCUCCAGUGAACUCUCAACAUGAGAUGAUUCUUCUAGUCUACAAUUCCAAAGUCCUUCUACAAUUCUACCCACAAACCAUGACCAGGUCUGUCACAACUCUGCCACACUAUGCUGGUGUCACCUUGCCUCAGGUAGGGCAACUAUUGUUGUGAGGAAACAUCAUGACGAAAGGAACUUGGGGAGGAAAGAGUUAAUUUGGCCUCGACUUCCAAGUCAUUGUUUAUCACUGAAGGAAAGCAGGACAUGGCUCUAACAGGGAAGGAACCUGGAGCCGGGUUGAUGCAGAGGCCAUGGUGGGUGCUGGUCACUGGACUGUUCCUCAUGGCUCAUUCAGCCUGCUUUCUCAUAGAAAAGCACCACCAGCAUGGGUGGAGUCCUCUUCCAUCCAUCAGUCAUUAAGACCAUGACCUACAAGCUUGCCUGAUUUUAUGGAAGUAUUUUUUAAAUUGAGGUUCCCUCCUCUCAGAGGAUUUAGCUUAUAUCGGGCUGACAUAAAAGUACCUAGAACAUACCUUACAUUUAUCACUUUCAUUCAAUAUUGCUGUAUUAUCUGGCAUCUUUGUUAGAAGGAACUUUGAAUCCCCCUCACCAAGUUUAAAUAGUACUUUGUUUCCAAUGAUGGCAUACCUGGCCAUUAUAACCACAGUCAUUAAAACAAUGUGUCCACUCUC